GCUUGUCUCAAAGAUUAAGCCAUGCAUGUCUCAGUAUAAGUUCCUGUACGGCGAAACUGCGAAUGGCUCAUUAAAACAGUUAUAGUUUAUUUGAUGGUCGUUCCUUACAUGGAUAACUGUGGUAAUUCUAGAGCUAAUACAUGCACCCAUGCCCGACUUUGUGGAAGGGUUGUGUUUAUUAGUUACAGAACCAACCCAGGCUCUGCCUGGUCUUGUGGUGAUUCAUAAUAACCGAACGAAUCGUAUGGCAUCAGCUGGCGAUGAAUCAUUCAAGUUUCUGACCUAUCAGCUUCCGACGGUAGUGUAUUGGACUACCAUGGCAGUAACGGGUAACGAAGAAUUAGGGUUCGAUUUCGGAGAGGGAGCAUGAGAAACGGCUACCACAUCUAAGGAAGGCAGCAGG
rnacentral:rRNA from 1 species